GGUUACACUAAUGAAUCGAGUCUAGGUUCAUUCAAUUGUGACUUUUAAACCAAUUACAAGGUAUUAAGAUCCUGAAAUUUAUGUACCUUUCAAAUUGUUUCCUUGUGUGGAUAUUGUUAAUUUCUUUAUGUUAAAUAUAUGCAUGAAAAGUGGUUCACAUGUAGAAAGCAAAAAAUCAAAGAAAUCAAAUUAAAAAAUUGAAAAGAAUUAUAUAUUGAAGAAGAAGAAUAUGAGAAAAGGUAAUUCUUAAAAAAAAAGAAAAAAAAGUUAUUAUAUAUAGGGUUCUAUAUAUUAUAAUCGUUUGAUUAAUUUGAGUUCGAUGUUUUUGAAUUAUCUUUUUAACCAUGUAAGGCUUCUUCAGAAACCAAAAUUUAACAUAUUUGUUUGCCAAAUCUAAACGAUUAGGAUGACAAUUAUAAUAACGAUAGCAGGUGACUUUUUUUUUUUUGUAAUUGUCCGUAUUAUUUUCAAGUAUAUUUUUAUCAUCAAUAAGAGGACAAGUAUGAAUGAGUAGAUUUAAAUAUUCUGAAGAUUAUAUUGCUAUUCAAUUUAAGAUUUAUCAAAACUUAAUCAAAGUUUGAUGUUAUUUGUUUAUGUAUUUGAAAAUAGUAAUCUAAAAGAUUCAUAAAUUUGGAGUUAUUGGAGACCAUAUUUUAUAAAUUUGAAGCUCUAAAACCUAUAAAAAUUUCAUAGCUUAAGUCGAAACCACUAGCUUGUAUACUACAUAAAAAUCGAAGUUAUAAGCUUCGGAAACCAUCAACAAAAUUCCAAAAGACUAAUCACGAUUAGCCAUCUCGGUAAAUUUUUUCUUUACAUAGAUAUUGUUAAUUUCUUUAUGUAAAAUAUAUGCAUGAAAAGUGGUUCGCAUGUAGAAUGCAAAGAAAUCAAAGAAAUCAAAUAAAUAAAAAAGUAAAAGAAUUAUAUAUAUUGAAGAAGAACAAGAGAAGUAAAAAAGUAAUUCUUAAAAAAAAAUAAAAAAAAAGGUAAUUAUAUAUAGGGUUCUAUAUAUUAUAAAGGUUUGAUUAAUUUGAGUUAUUUGUUUUAAAAUUAUGUUUUUAACCAAGCAAGGCUUCUUCAGAAACCAAAGUUUGGCGUGUUUGUUAGCCAAAUCUAACCGAUUACGAUGAACAGUUAUAUUAAAGAUUGCAGGUGACUAUUUUUUUUUUGUAAUUAUCCGUAUUAUUUUCGCGUAUUUUUUUAUCAUCAAUAAGAGAACAAGUAUGAAGGAGUAGAUUUAAAUAAUAUGAAUAAUAUAUUGUUAUUUAAUUUAAG
rnacentral:lncRNA from 1 species